GGAGAAGUUUUUUUGCUGAUGUGGAAGUUCUAUGUUGCCUCAAAAGGUCCCUUUUAUUAGUAUAGAUUUUAAUCUUAUUACUUAAAAUAUCUAGCCACCUGGGAUUAAACCGAUAAAAGUAUGUAAGGAGUUUAUAAUGAAUUUACAAACAUAUUAGGUUGGGAUCCUAUUGGGCUGUGUUGGAUUAAAAUCCGUUAAUGAUACUCCUCUGAGCUUUGGGUUUGUGACGUUAAUAUAGAAAAGGAAAGAAUAAAUUUGGUACUCUAUAAAUU
rnacentral:lncRNA from 1 species